rnacentral:rRNA from 1 species
UGCCAGCCGCCGCGGUAAUACAGAGGGUGCAAACGUUGCUCGGAAUCAUUGGGCGUAAAGCGCGUGUAGGCGGUUUCUUAGGCCAAUUGUGAAAUCCCAUGGCUCAACCAUGGACGUGCAGUCGGAACCAAGAAACUAGAGUUCCGAAGAGGAUGGCAGAAUUUCCAGUGUAGAGGUGAAAUUCGUAGAUAUUGGGAGGAAUACCGGUGGCGAAGGCGACUGCCUGGACUGAUACUGACACUGAGGUGCGAAAGCGUGGGGAGCAAACAGGAUUAGAUA